UGGGGAAUAUUGCACAAUGGGGGAAACCCUGAUGCAGCGACGCCGCGUGAGCGAUGAAGGCUUUCGAGUCGUAAAGCUCUGUCCUAUGGGAAGAUAAUGACGGUACCAUAGAAGAAAGCCCCGGCUAAUUACGUGCCAGCAGCCGCGGUAAUACGUAAGGGGCGAGCGUUGUCCGGAAUUAUUGGGCGUAAAGAGUGCGUAGGCGGCAAAUUAAGUCAGAUGUGAAAACUAAGGGCUCAACCCAUAGAUUGCAUCUGAAACUGAUAUGCUUGAGUCAAGGAGAGGAAAGUGGAAUUCCUAGUGUAGCGGUGGAAUGCGCAGAUAUUAGGAGGAAUACCGGUGGCGAAGGCGACUUUCUGGCCAUAUACUGACGCUGAGGUACGAAAGCGUGGGUAGCAAACAGG
rnacentral:rRNA from 1 species